UACAGAGGUCCCAAGCGUUGUUCGGAUUCACUGGGCGUAAAGGGUGCGUAGGUGGUCGGGUAAGUCCGAUGUGAAAUCUCCGAGCUCAACUCGGAAACUGCACCGGAUACUAUUCGGCUGGAGGGUUGGAGGGGGGACUGGAAUGCUUGGUGUAGCAGUGAAAUGCGUAGAUAUCAAGCGGAACACCAGUGGCGAAGGCGAAUCCCUGGACAACUCCUGACACUGAGGCACGAAAGCUAGGGGAGCAAGCAGG
rnacentral:rRNA from 1 species